rnacentral:rRNA from 1 species
UGUAAGCGUAUACCAAAGUUGUUGCAGUUAAAACGCUCGUAGUCGGAAUUUGGCAGUUCCGGAUGUGUGCACGUCGUGUGCGCACUUCGCGGGGAUUGCUUUUGUGGUCUUGCGUAGGAUGAGGCACUUUUAUUAGUGAACGUCCUCACGCAAACACUUUUUACUGUGAGAAAAUCAGAGUGCUCAAAGCAGGCAUUUGCCGUGAAUGUAUUAGCAUGGAAUAAUAGAAUAGGACUUGGUUCUAUUUUGUUGGUUUGUUGGGACUGAGUAAUGAUUAAGAGGGACAGUUGGGGGCAUUUGUAUUUCGGUGCUAGAGGUGAAAUUCUUAGAUUACCGAAAGACAAACUGCUGCGAAAGCGUCUGCCAAGGAUGUUUUCAUUGA